UACGUAGGUGACAAGCGUUGUCCGGAUUUACUGGGCGUAAAGAGCGCGCAGGCGGUCGAUCAAGUCGCGUGUGAAAGCCCCCGGCUCAACUGGGGAGGGUCACGCGAUACUGAUCGACUCGAAGGCAGGAGAGGGUAGUGGAAUUCCCGGUGUAGUGGUGAAAUGCGUAGAUAUCGGGAGGAACACCAGUGGCGAAGGCGACUACCUGGCCUGUUCUUGACGCUGAGGCGCGAAAGCUAGGGUAGCAAACGGG
rnacentral:rRNA from 1 species